AGAGUUCGAUUCUGGCUCAGGAUGAACGCUGGCGGCGUGCCUAACACAUGCAAGUCGAACGAGAUGCGUAUCGGAAAGCUUCGGCCGGAAGAUGCGUUAUCUAGUGGCGGACGGGUGAGUAACACGUGGGUAACCUGCCUUAUGGAGGGGGAUAACAGAGAGAAAUCACUGCUAAUACCGCAUAAGCACACAGUACCGCAUGGUAGAGUGUGAAAAGAUUUAUCGCCAUAAGAUGGACCCGCGUCUGAUUAGCCAGUUGGCAGGGUAAAAGCCUACCAAAGCGACGAUCAGUAGCCGAUCUGAGAGGAUGACCGGCCACAUUGGGACUGAGACACGGCCCAA
rnacentral:rRNA from 1 species